ensembl:lncRNA
GUGGCCAGCAGGGAGAGGGAAGUGAUUGCGCCCCUCUACUCAUCUCUUGUGAGGCCCCAUGUGGAGUAAUGCGUCCAGGCCUGGGGCCCCCAGUACAGGGAGGACAUGGAGCUCUUGGAGCGGGUCUGGAGGAGGGCUACUAAGAUGAUCAAAGGGCUGGAGCACCUCUCCUAUGAGGAAAGUUUGAGGGAGCUGGGAUUGUUUAGUUUGGAGAAGAGAAAGCUCCGGGGAGACCUCAUUGCAGCCUUCCAGUACUUGAAGGGAGCAUAUGGUCAGAAAGGGGAAUGGCUGUUCAUGAGGGUGGAUAGUGAUAGGACAAGGGGGAAUGGUUUUAAACUGGGAGAGGGGAGGUUUAGGUUGGAUAUUAGGAAGAAGUUUUUUCACGCAGAGGGUGGUGAGACACUGAACAGGUUGCCCAAGGAGGUUGUCGAUGCCCCGUCUCUGGAGGCAUUCAUGGCCAGGCUGGCUGUGGCUCUGGGCAGCCUGGUCUAGUGAUUGGAGACCUUGCACAUAGUAGGGGGGUUGAAACUCAAUGAUCAUUGUGGUCCUUUGCAACCCAGGCCAUUCUAUGAUUCUAUGACAAACAGCUGGGUCUGCCGUGUACCCUCACAGCAUCCAGAGGUCACCAUUGACAUCAAAGGGCCCAAUGGAGACCAAAAUACCCAACCCGUGC